rnacentral:rRNA from 1 species
GACGAACGCUGGCGGCGUGCCUAAUACAUGCAAGUAGAACGCUGAAGGAGGAGCUUGCUCUUCUGGAUGAGUUGCGAACGGGUGAGUAACGCGUAGGUAACCUGCCUGGUAGCGGGGGAUAACUAUUGGAAAUGAUAGCUAAUACCGCAUAAGAGUAGAUGUUGCAUGACAUUUACUUAAAAGGUGCAAUUGUAUUACUACCAGAUGGACCUGCGUUGUAUUAGCUAGUUGGUGGGGUAACGGCUUACCAAGGCGACGAUACCUAGCCGACCUGAGAGGGUGAGCGGCCACACUGAGACUGAGACACGGCCCAGACUCCUACGGGAGGCAGCAGUAGGGAAGCUGCGGCAAUGGACGGAAGUCUGACCGAGCAACGCCGCGUGAGUGAAGAAGGUUUUCGGAUCGUAAAGCUCUGUUGUAAGAGAAGAACGAGUGUGAGAGUGGAAAGUGCACACUGUGAGGGUAUCUUACCAGAAAGGGAGGGCUAACUACGUG